UUUAAAUUGAGAGUUUGAUCCUGGCUCAGGAUGAACGCUGGUGGCGUGCCUAAUACAUGCAAGUCGUACGCUAGCCGCUGAAUUGAUCCUUCGGGUGAAGUGAGGCAAUGACUAGAGUGGCGAACUGGUGAGUAACACGUAAGAAACCUGCCCUUUAGUGGGGGAUAACAUUUGGAAACAGAUGCUAAUACCGCGUAACAACAAAUCACACAUGUGAUCUGUUUGAAAGGUCCUUUUGGAUCGCUAGAGGAUGGUCUUGCGGCGUAUUAGCUUGUUGGUAGGGUAGAAGCCUACCAAGGCAAUGAUGCGUAGCCGAGUUGAGAGACUGGCCGGCCACAUUGGGACUGAGACACUGCCCAAACUCCUACGGGAGGCUGCAGUAGGGAAUUUUCCGCAAUGCACGAAAGUGUGACGGAGCGACGCCGCGUGUGUGAUGAAGGCUUUCGGGUCGUAAAGCACUGUUGUAAGGGAAGAAUAACUGAAUUCAGAGAAAGUUUUCAGCUUGACGGUACCUUACCAGAAAGGGAUGGCUAAAUACGUGCCAGCAGCCGCGGUAAUACGUAUGUCCCGAGCGUUAUCCGGAUUUAUUGGGCGUAAAGCGAGCGCAGACGGUUUAUUAAGUCUGAUGUGAAAUCCCGAGGCCCAACCUCGGAACUGCAUUGGAAACUGAUUUACUUGAGUGCGAUAGAGGCAAGUGGAACUCCAUGUGUAGCGGUGAAAUGCGUAGAUAUGUGGAAGAACACCAGUGGCGAAAGCGGCUUGCUAGAUCGUAACUGACGUUGAGGCUCGAAAGUAUGG
rnacentral:rRNA from 1 species